AGGCCCAUCUCGAUGACAAGCUGA
rnacentral:siRNA from 1 species